rnacentral:lncRNA from 1 species
UUCUUAAGGUUGUCACUUGAAGGGAGGCCCAGGGCAGCUGGAGCUGCGGGGGUGAAGACAUCCUGGUCUGCAGCCAGCAGAGGACUCCUGCCUGUCGACCAGGCCGCCAGCACUGCUCGAGGCCGGAGUGCAGGACCCUGGAGCGGCCCCAUUACAAAAUGCCAGUCACUGGGAAGGAAGGAGCAGGUUAGCUCAUUUCAUCCUGCCGACAAGUGUGAUCAUCUCCACUUCUCAAAGCACGAAGAGGCUGCCUGACUUGCCCAAGCCUGCAGCUAGUGAAUGCAGGCGCCAGGGGCCCAACCCAGGCAGCCUGACUCCCAGCCCUCGCCCCCAACUGCUCAGCAUCUGCUCCUCCGAGAUGAAGUUCACCUCGUCUGUGGAUUCAAAUGAGGGGCCACAACACUACACUUAGUCCCUUAGUUUGCAUAUCUACCCUGGGACCAUAACCAUACACGGAAUUUCAUUGUAGCAGCUUCAGGAUUUGAGAAACAUCAGGAAGCCUUCAUAUCUGCUUGAAACUGUAUUCUCUCUAGGCCAGGCUUGUGGCUGGAAAGAGAAAGCAGCUUGCAGAGUCAGAGUGUCAGUUACAUUGUAUUGCAAUUCAAGUUCCAAUUACAAAACGUCCCCAACCCCACACUGGUGAUAGAAUUUUGUGGCAUUUCCUAAACAAGGGUACAAAGUUUCCCACAAAAAGUUUUCCGUGAACUUUACAGUUCCCAUGAAGCGAGGUCCUGGACCUCCUGCGUUGGAAUUCCCUGACUGAUCCUGUUUUUCAGUUGUUGGUGUGCAUCCUGACGGUGAGGAGAAGGCUGAGGAGAGCAGGAGUUCAGCACAGCCUGUCAGAGCCUGUUAGCAUAUUCCUGUGGCUACAAGAGAAACGCAGACUGGGCAGGUUUAUAACUGGCUGCGUGGGGCUCCUAUGGGGCUGAUGUCAACCUGAAGGCUGGCUUCUAGAUGGGGUUAGUGAGGACAUGCUGCUGAAAGCGCUCAGAUCGUCAGAGCUGGGCAGGACAGCUGCGCCCUUGAGUGGCUGACAGGAUUUGCACCAGACAGGCCAGGCAAGGUGCCAAGCUGAUAAACUGCCACCUUUUGAGGGGCUUCUGCCACACCCACAGCUGGUGUGGAAGGAUUUCUCAGGCCUUUACCACCUAACACAACUGGCUGGACCCAGGAUCGGUACCAAAGAUGCCACUGAGGUGGCCUGGCCCGAGAACUCUGCCCAGUAGGAGCAUGUCACAAAGAGCUGUGGGUGACUGGCCCACCAAGGUUGGAUUCAGGAUCUGGAAGCAGAAGCCGUGAGGCUGAAAAGCGAGGGAACAGACUCGGCGAGGCGGGGCAGCACGGUGUCCUUGGCUGGGUGCUGUGGGGGAAGUAGGUGUGGCUCCACAGAGGGGCCGCUGGGCACUGAGCUCCGGAUCCCGAGCUGUGGUGACGUUUCCUUCUCAGGAGGCUGUGACGUCCAGCUGCCCCGAUUCCUGCCUCCCUGCUCUCCUGGGGUCCCUCCAGGAAGCCCCCAUAGCUGAGGAACCCAUGCGAGUCUUAUGCUUUGCAAUCUAAGAGAGCCCAUCUUGACCAGUUGGAAUGAAGGCCCAAAUCUGACUCCCUGAAAAGAGAAAGAGAGUCCACAAACGGGAAAAGAGUGAUUCAAAUGGGUCACUGCAGUGUUUAUUGAGCCCCUGCUGUGCACCAGGCACUGGGUGUAGCAAGGCAAAAACUAAACAAAACAGAGCCUUAACCUCAAGGAACUUACCUUCUAAUGGGGGGGAGGAGGAAGGCAGACAGUAUUAAAAUAGAUGUGACUUUACACAUGGCCAGCGUCAGAGGGGACGUUUGAGCAGAGACCUGCUGAAAUGAGUCGCUGGGAAGAGCGUUCCAGAGGGAGGCUAGUAUGUCUGAGGAGUUGAGAGAGACCGGUGGGCCAGAGCUGGGGGCUGGGGGAGCGUGCAGGACCCGAUGCCGUGGCCGGGGGGGUCGGGAUGGUGAGGGCAAUGCAGAGGCCUGUGCACUUCACCCUGAGUGAGAGGAGGGCCUGGGGGUUCUCAGCAGAGGAAUGCGCGCUCUGCCUUCCGUUUUUGAAGGCUCACUCCGGCUGCUGUUGAAGCGAGACUGAAGAGCAUGUGUCAGUUAUCUGGUGCUCCCUGACAAGCCCUCCCCAAAACUUAGUGGGUUAAAACAGCAGCCAUCUUCUUUGCUCCUGAUCCUGUGCGUGGACUGGGGCUCAGCCACAGUUCCUCUGUUGGCCUCACUCGGAGUCCCUCGUGUGAAGCUUUCAGGCGGGAGCCUGGUGGAACCAGCACAUCCAGGAUGGCCUCUGCCUUGGUUUUGUGGGACUGCCAUAACAAAUUACCACAAAUCCGGGGGCUGAAAACAACAGAAACUUAUUCCCUCUCAGUUCUGGAGGCCGAAAGUCUGAAAUCCAGGCGUUGGCAGAGCUGCUUCCUUCUGGAGGCUCCGAGGGAAACUGCGGUCCUUGCCUCUCUCCGGCUUUGGGGGUGGCCACCAAUCCUUGGUGUGCCUUGCCUGACACCUGCGUCACUCCUAUCUGACUCAGUGGUCACAUGUGUUCUCCCUGUGUGUCUCUGUGUCUCUGUGUCCACAUUUCUCAUUUUUUAUGAGUGACAGUCACACUGGAUUUAAGGUCCACCCUAAUCCAGUGUGACCUCCUCUUACUUUGAUUACAUGUGCAAAGACCCUAUGUCCAAAUAAGGUCACAAUCACAGGUUCUGAGUGGACAUGAAGUUUUAGGGGACACUAUUCAACACAGGACAGCCUCUCAUUUUGCAGGAUAUCUCCCACAGCCUCUCAUCGUUCAGUAGGCUAGCCCCGGAGUUGACAAACUAUGGCCCACGGGCCAAAUCUGUUUCUGUAAAUAAAGGUGUAUUGGAACACAGCCACACCCCUUUAUUUACAUAUUGUCUGUGGCUGCUUUCAAGCUGCAAUGACAAAGUUGAGUAGUUCCAACAGGGAUUGUAAGGCCCACAGAGCCUAACCUACCCUUUAUAGAGAAAGUUUGCCCACCCCUCGUCUGUCCUGGCUUCUCACACAGCAGCCAUAGCCCAAGAAGCUGCCACCCAGGAGGACAAGGAGACCCGGUGUGCAAGAGCUGGUGGCAAAGCCUCUUGCUGAUGUGCCAUUGGCCAAAGCAGGUCACAUGGUCAAACCCAGAGUCUGUGGAAGGGGUGCCCACUGCGGGGUACCAGGAGGUGGGCUCACUGGGGCUACCAAAGAAAGGGUCUACUCGAGGGGCACAGCUGAACACAGGAGCCCAGUGAAGAGACCGCCGUAGGGCCCUAGGGUGGUAACACUGGAUGCGUGAGAAGUGAUUGGAGUCCAGAUAUAUUUCCAAG